rnacentral:rRNA from 1 species
UACAGAGGGUGCGAGCGUUAAUCGGAAUUACUGGGCGUAAAGCGCACGUAGUCGGCUUUGCAAGUCGGGUGUGAAAUCCCCGGGCUCAACCUGGGAACUGCAUCCGAGACCGCAUUGCUAGAGUAUGGGAGAGGGAAGCGGAAUUUCUGGUGUAGCAGUGAAAUGCGUAGAUAUCAGGAGGAACAUCAGUGGCGAAGGCGGCUUCCUGGACCAAUACUGACGAUCAGGUGCGAAAGCGUGGGGAGCAAACAGG